rnacentral:rRNA from 1 species
GACGAACCGUGCGAACGUUGUUCGGAAUCACUGGGCUUAAAGGGCGCGUAGGCGGUUUGCCAAGUCAGGGGUGAAAUCCUGCAGCUCAACUGUAGAAGUGCCUUUGAUACUGGCGAACUCGAGGGAGGUAGGGGUGGGUGGAACUUCUGGUGGAGCGGUGAAAUGCGUUGAUAUCAGAAGGAACGCCGGUGGCGGAAAGCGAACCCACUCGGAUCUCUACUGACGCUGAGGCGCGAAAGCUAGGGGAGCAAACGGGG